UCUGGUAGAGAGGCAGACCCGGAAAAGGAACGUGGGCGAGGGGGUGCUCCAUGUGUCCUGAGCCCCCUCUAUGCCCUGAGCCACACGGGUGCCUGCAGUCUGACUCCUUGACCACGUCCUCCCCAUCCUUAUCCCUGCUGCCUGCUCCCAGUGGACUGAUGCAGGAUGCAGGAGGCUGUUGAUUAGGAAACGCAGCCUCCCUUGAGUUUCUGUGUGGGUGAACCUGGCUCCUGGGGCCCCGGGUAGGGGUGCCAGGCUUCAGAAUCUGCACACUGCUUCACCACCCCCGCAGCCUGUGAUCCCAAGCCAGGCCCUCUGAUCCGGCAGCUGUCAACACAAGCACACUCCAGUGCUUUCUGCUUUGCUGUUGGCCUCCCUCGGGAAGCUUUGAACACUAGUGAGAUCAUCAUUGUCAAACUCUCUGGGCUCUGGUGCAAGGGCAGUCAGAUAAGGAGGAAUAUGAUGUGCCAACCCUCCUCUUUGGUCCCCAGCCCCCAGCCUCACCCUGCUGA
rnacentral:lncRNA from 1 species